rnacentral:rRNA from 1 species
GACGAACGCUGGCGGCGUGCUUAACACAUGCAAGUCGAACGGUAAGGCCCUUUCGGGGGUCCACGAGUGGCGAACGGGUGAGUAACACGUGGGUGAUCUGCCCUGCACUUUGGGAUAAGCCUGGGAAACUGGGUCUAAUACCGGAUAGGACUACGCGAUGCAUGUCGUGUGGUGGAAAGCUUUUGCGGUGUGGGAUGGGCCCGCGGCCUAUCAGCUUGUUGGUGGGGUGAUGGCCUACCAAGGCGACGACGGGUAGCCGGCCUGAGAGGGUGUCCGGCCACACUGGGACUGAGAUACGGCCCAGACUCCUACGGGAGGCAGCAGUGGGGAAUAUUGCACAAUGGGCGCAAGCCUGAUGCAGCGACGCCGCGUGGGGGAUGACGGCCUUCGGGUUGUAAACCCCUUUCAGCACAGACGAAGCGUAAGUCACGGUAUGUGCAGAAGAAGCACCGGCCAACUACGUG